rnacentral:rRNA from 1 species
GGUUAAGUGACUAAGCGUACACGGUGGAUGCCUUGGCAGUUGGAGGCGAUGAAGGACGUAUUAACUUGCGAUAAGCUUAGUCAAGCUAGUAAAAAGCGCUUGAGACUAAGAUUUCCGAAUGGGGAAACCCACNCCUUGGCAGUUGGAGGCGAUGAAGGACGUAUUAACUUGCGAUAAGCUUAGUCAAGCUAGUAAAAAGCGCUUGAGACUAAGAUUUCCGAAUGGGGAAACCCACCUGCUUGCAGGUAUCGUUAACUGAAUACAUAGGUUAACGA